rnacentral:rRNA from 1 species
UACGUAAGGUCCGAGCGUUGUCCGGAAUCAUUGGGCGUAAAGGGUACGUAGGCGGAUAAGCAAGUUAGAAGUGAAAUCCUAUAGCUCAACUAUAGUAAGCUUUUAAAACUGCUCAUCUUGAGGUAUGGUAGGGUAAGUGGAAUUCCUAGUGUAGCGGUGAAAUGCGCAGAUAUUAGGAGGAAUACCGGUUGCGAAGGCGACUUUCUGGCAAUCAUCAGACGCUGAGGUACGAAAGUGUGGGUAGCAAACAGG